UUUACCAUAUCAAUAAACAGCAUGGCAGAGCAAAAUAUUUUUUCUAACAUAGCAACCUUUAAAAAGUGAAAGGAGACACAAAGACAGGUGAGAAAGUGUUACGGCCAAGAGGGCCAGGCGGUGAGUGCAGACACAGAGGGAGGCAAAGCUGGCGUGAAUACAGUUCUUCAUUUACAGUGCUUAGUUUAAUUAGAGAGCAGGAAAUAGUGUAAGCUCUGAACUGUGAAGGCUAUGAACUGUGACGGCUAUGAACUGUGAAGGCUAAGAAGCCAGACUAUGGAACAUGAAGCUCAGACUGUGCGCUAUGACUAGAUAAUAGAUUUCGUGACCGGAUCCUGGGGAGGGAAAAGGAGCAGCAGCCUGGGUGGAGGUACACAGAGUCACUAUAACGAGAAGAGACAGACAGUCAGUGGCAGUCUAGUGAAUCUCAGUCGGUGGAUUCAACUAUGAUGGUUAUAGCAGGUGAAAGUGGCAUGCGAUGAGGGUGUCCAGGGGGUCCAGGUGAGGAGAGGUCCAAGGAGGGUCCGGAAUAUACUUGGAGCAACAGACCUGGCAGGGAGGCAGGCAGGUGAAGAGCCACGAUGGAGGGGGUACAACCAGAUAUCAGGAAACCAGCGUCCAGACAGAGAUGGGUGCAGUUCAGUUUGAGAAGCGUGACACCCAGGAUUUAGGGGAUGUUAGGACCUGAUGACUUGUGACAUGCUGAUGGAUGGCAUAGACCCAGAGUCACCAAAACAGCUAUCACCUUACCAGACUCCAGAGGACAUCCCAGCACAGAGCUACGCCUCCGCACCAGUUUGUCAAUCCUGCUCCUGUCCCUGUCCGUGCAUUCGCUCCCCCAGCAGGCCACUGCAUAGAAAAAGGCAGAUGCUCACUGCCAGUCACUGCCUUUGUUGACCAGCCAAAAAAGGCAGACUUUGUUGGCUGGUCUCACACCAGCCAACAAAGUCACUGAUGAGACCCCUGUAUUCCUGGUCAUUCCCGUCUGAUAUGCAUCUGAUGAUGGCUGUAUCAUCUGAGAACUUCUGUAGGUGGCAAUCGUCCAAGUUAUAACAGAAGUCUGAAGUGUACAGGGUGAACAGGAAGAGUGAGAGAACCGUGCCCUGUGGUGCCCUCGUGCUGCAGAUUACCACCUCGGACACAGUCAUAGUCCAUGGAGUCAUCUCUUUGCCUACUCCGGCUCCCUCCAGCUUCCCUCCAAGUAGUACAGGCAGAAAGCACUGGAGAAGUCAAAAAAUGUGAUCCUCACAGUGCUCCCAGCCUGCUCCAGGUGAGAGAGGGAUCGGUGUAACAGGCAGAUGACAGCGUCAUCCACCCCAAUUCCAGACCGGUAGGCGAACUGCAAGGGGUCCAUUGCUGAGCUCACCAGUGGGCAAAGGUGGUACAGGAUGAGCCUUUCCAUGGUCUUCAUCAGAUGAGAAGUCAAGGCCAAAGGCCUGAAGGUUGGGCUCCUUGAGGUGUGGCACUGGAACCACACAGGAAGUCUUACACAGUUCACACCAUCGUCCUGCACCACCUUCAUCACUGAUUGACCGCUAACCAUCCAAAAAUCCAGCCUCUCCUGCAGCAAGUAGCACCAAGCCGCCCACUACAUACUGAAAAAUUUGAAGUUUUAAAAGAAAAACAAUGUUAAAACAAGCAUGAUGUAAUUGGCAGUUCUUUGAGCAACAGAUAUAGACUGUCCUAAUGAAAAAAAUACACCAGUAUAAUUUGUGUAUGUAAAAGUAAAAUAAUUAAUUCAUCUUUCCUUUUCUGCCCAAAACAACAUAUUAGAGUAUUUAAUGUCUAUCAUUAGAAAUAAAUCGCUACAAAAUAUACUGGGGGUAGAAAGCUGCAUGCUGAGUAUACCAAACCUCAAACCACCUCAUCUAAACUGUUUAAAAUUAGAGUGCUCAAUUUUGGGGCGAAUAUAUAUAUCUUAUUUGAAAGUAUAACUACCCACAUCAGUUCUCUGUCCACAUUUACAAUAAUAAUGGUCAGGUAAUUUCAUGACAAUCUUACUUUUAUGCAACCUUAUUUUUUAGAACUACUCUAAAAUGUAUUUGGUGAGCUUAUGUUAGCUACUAACCUACU